rnacentral:pre_miRNA from 2 species
GUUCUUGCUGAUGCAGCAUCUUCAAGAUUCACAAAAGAUUCCAUUUUUUGGGUGUUCAUACGUUUUGAGAAUCUUGAUGAUGCUGCAGCGGCAAUUGC